CAAGCAUUCUUCACAGUAAUCUCACUAAAUCCUCAUUAGAACCCUGUAUUGUCACAUGAUUAUCUUUAUUUUCCAGGUGGGAGGAGAGGUGGAGAACCUCUAAAACCAUAUCUAAAACCAUAUCUCCAUGGCGUCAGCAAUUCCGUAGAAGAACACUGACCCUUAGUAAGCAUUUGUUAUGCUGCCAGGAUCAGGCCAGUGACAUCACAAGCAUUAACCCACUUUAUCCUCCUGAUCCAGUAAAGCAGGUAUUCCUAGUUCUGGUUCAUAAAAGAAGAAAGUCAGCUAAUAGGAGUCAAGGAACUUGCCAAAGGUUAAAGUGUGGGUGGGACCAUUCCUCCUUUGCCUGACUUCCAAGAAAUGCCUUUGUAUGUUUCACCUCCUCCAUAGCUGCUUCAGGAAUAUUGCAGGAACAGAAAAGGAAUUGGAGCCAUGCACUAACCCAAUGGGGACAUCCAACGAGUCUUUCUAUUGGGUGUCACAUCAACAGAAGAAUAAGAGUCAGAAACUGGACCAUCCAGGUAGUGGCCCCACUAGUGGAAGAACAUUCUAGGGAUGUUAACAGACAUGAAAUGAUGUCAUAUCCUAAGUGUUCUGAUCUUUGUCCAACAUUCCUGGCACAGAGUUUCUGAAGCCCUUGUAAUUUCCCAAGUGACAGAAGUGUCUGUUUUUCAGCCAUAUCUUAGACCGCAUCUGAAUUUAUGCUAAUGAAAUGACUCGUGGUUGGCCCCGUAGAUAGUUUCAGGAUGGGGACUGGUCACCACAAAAACCAACCACAUGAUUAGAAGACUGAGACAUUGAGCCGGCAUGAUCUCUGGAGAAGGGAAGAGGACUGGAAAUUGAGUUUAAUGAUGUGCCAACAAUUUAAUCAGUCAUGUCUCCAUAAUGGGGCUUCAGUAAAAAAGCUGGACACCAAAGCUUUUUGGAGCUUCCUGGUUGGGGAACACAUCAAUGUUCUGGGAGAGUGACAUGUCCUGAUUUCAUGGGGAGGAGGUACAGAAGCCCUGCAUUCAGGACUCUCUCAGUCCUUGCCCUACUUGUACUUUCCUUUGGUUAUUCCUGAAUUGCAUCUUUUAUAAUGAAACUGUAAUUACAAAUCUCACACCAUCCUGAGUUCUAUAAGUCAUUCUAGCAAACUGCCAAAUCAGAAGGGGCCAUUGGAAAUCCCCAAAUUGUAACCAUUCGGUCAGAAGUGUGUGUGGCUCAAGGAUUUCACUUGUGUCUGGUGUCUGAAAUGAAGAUAGUCUUUUUGGAGCCAUGCCCUUUAACUUGUAGGGUAUACAUUAAUUCUGGGUGGGAGGUGCCAAAAUGGAAUUGCAGUACAUUAGUUGAUGUCAGAAUAGUUGGAAGACAUCUUUCUCUGAGCAAGUAACCAUGUUUAUUUGCCAAUUAAAAAGUUUUGCCAUAUGAUGUCUCAUAGCCUUUUAUAACAGUCUGCACUAUAUUAAGUAAAAUCCUUAUAAUCAGAGUAUUUAGGGUUUUUUUGUUUGUUUGUUUCAGAAUUUAGAAUUUUGAGAAAGCUAUGCCCUAAGACUCCUAGCAGAGUCUGGGCAGCACCCACAAUACCCAAUCCCUAAUACUUCCCCAGAGAUACAUAUGAAAAUUAAUACUGAGAUAACAGGGACUAUAAGUAGCCCUACUUUACUUCAAGUUAGUCAUUGCCACCAUCUGAGUUAAAGCGUUGGUUCAGAGAUUUCUAGAUUUCAUAAUUGCAGAUGAGGAAUCGAGGGCCUCUAUAUGCAGGAAGGAGAUCUGACGUGCAGCCUGAACUCAACUAACCAGCGAACAUGUUUUUUAUCAGAAGACAGACAAAGGUGGUGAAGAAGACAAAGGUUGAAUGGGCAGAUCCCAGAAACUAAUCUUUGGAAAAUCUUUCAGUCUUGCCACAUAAAAUCACUAACAGAGAAUUCAGUACUUAUUGAUGCCUAGGCAAAAUAGCAGUUGUUCUGUUAGGAAUAUAUAUGAUAAGGUACUGCUAUAGUCCUGAAGGGGAUGACAUUAUAAAAUAUGUCAGAAUUACUGUAUCUCUAAGACACAAGUGUGUAAUAAAUAAUGCCUCUGUAGGCA
rnacentral:lncRNA from 12 species